rnacentral:rRNA from 1 species
GCUUGUCUCAAAGAUUAAGCCAUGCAUGUGAUCAGUGCAGUCCUUGUACGACGAAACUGCGAAUGGCUCAUUAAAACAGUUAUCGUUCAUUUGGUAAUCAUCUACUACAAGGAUAACUGUAGUAAUUCUAGAGCUAAUACUUGCGUUUUCCCGACUUCUCGGAAGGGAUUGCAUUUAUUAGAUACAAACCAAUCGGUGGUUUACCACUGCUAUAUGGUGAUUCAUAAUAACUAAGCGAAUCGCAUGGGCUCGCCCGGCGAUAGACCUUUCAAGUUUCUGAUCUAUCAGCUAUUGACGGUAGGGUAUUGGCCUACCGUGGCGAUGACGGAUAAAGGGGGAUUAGGGUUCGACUCCUGAGAGGGAGCCUGAGAAACGGCUACCACAUCUAAGGAAGGCAGCAGG